UACGGAGGGUGCAAGCGUUGCUCGGAAUCAUUGGGCGUAAAGCGCGUGUAGGCGGUCCGGUAAGUCCGCUGUGAAAGUCGAGGGCUCAACCCUCGAAUGCCGGUGGAUACUGUCGGGCUUGAGUACGGGAGAGGCGAGUGGAAUUCCUGGUGUAGCGGUGAAAUGCGCAGAUAUCAGGAGGAACACCGAUUGCGAAGGCAGCUCGCUGGAACGUUACUGACGCUGAGACGCGAAAGCGUGGGGAGCAAACAGG
rnacentral:rRNA from 1 species